UGUUCUUUUUUCUUCAUUUUCUCCAUUGAGCAUUGAACCAAACAAAAAAAAAUUCUCCAUCUCCCGUUCUCUCUGUCAGAAACCCAACUUUGUGAAACCCUAACCUCUCCUCAUAGUGAUCGGAGGUCUUGGUUUUAUCGGUGCCGCUUUCUGUCUUGAGCUCACUUGUAGAGGUGUGAGCUAGGUUCAGGCGAUUGAUUUUCAGAGCACUUUGUCUUGAUCCGAUGAUCUUAAGAUAUAAGAACACAAGAGUCCAUCGCAUUUGAGGUUUCACGGAGGAGCAAGAAGCUCUGGUGGUGAAGUCAUGGAAUUCAAUGAAGAAGAAUGCUGGAGGGUUAGGUCUAAAAUUCUUCUUGAAACUUGUGAAUCAGUUGUUCAACAUCGAAAAGCCGACAAAGUGACAAUGAGAGACUCUACCUUGAAGAAAUUAGGUGUUGUUCACUACAAAUCUGGUGUCCUUGAUGAACACUAUGAGGUAUAUAUAGUUAUUAUAAAGUAUAUGAAAUUUUCAAGAUGUUGCAACUCUUUCAAUUUGAUGAUUUACAAACAAUUUUUGAACCCAAAAAAUAAAUUAUUCGGAUCACAUAGGUUACAAAGUUUGCAUUGUGGGAAACAAUAAAGGAAACAGUUCCUGAAAUGUGGUCACUAGCAAGCAAAUGAUUAGUUAGUUGUUGCUAUCAAAUCAGAGAUGAAGUUGUCCUCUUACACAUAUGUGAUCAAAUCAUCAAUAAAAUAAGACCGAAUGAAUGUAUUGAUA